rnacentral:snoRNA from 1 species
AUUCCAUGAUGAGGGCAUUUCUGUAAUAGGUCUUUGUAUCGUUCCCAUGCCUCAUACAAGGACUCAUCAUCUAUUUGUUGGAAAACAGUGAUCUCAUUCCAAAACU